rnacentral:rRNA from 1 species
UACAGAGGGGGCAAGCGUUGUUCGGAAUUACUGGGCGUAAAGGGUGCGUAGGUGGCGGGGCAAGUCAGGUGUGAAAUCUCGGGGCUCAACCCCGAAACUGCACUUGAUACCGCCUUGCUCGAGUACUGGAGAGGAGACUGGAAUUUACGGUGUAGCAGUGAAAUGCGUAGAUAUCGUAAGGAACACCGGUGGCGAAGGCGGGUCUCUGGGCAGUAACUGACGCUGAGGAGCGAAAGCGUGGGGAGCGAACAGG